UUGACUGUGCUAAGGUAGCAUAAUAAAUUGGCUUUUAAUUGAAGUCGGGAAUGAAAGGGUGUUUGGAGUUAUCCUGUCUUAUUUUUAUUUUUUAAAAAUUAUUAAUGGGGUGAAAAUUCCUCAAUUUUAUCUGAUAGACGAGAAGACCCUAAGAAUUAUUACAACUAUUAAAAUAAUUUAAUAAAAGUUUUUGUUGGGGCAACAACUUUGGAAGUAAAUAACCAAAGUAGAUUGAUUUAUAUUAUAGUAUAAAAAGAUUAUAUUAACAAUGAAUUUAAUUACCUUAGGGAUAACAGCAUAAUUAUAUUUUAGAUUGUGACCUCGAUGUUGGAUUAAGGCCU
rnacentral:rRNA from 1 species